rnacentral:rRNA from 1 species
UGUGCAGGCGGGUGGUCAAGUGGUGUAUGAAAUCGUCCGGCUCAACCGGGCCAUGGUAUGCCAGACUGACUGCCUGGAGUGCGGGAGAGGGGCGUGGAAUUCCGGGUGUAGUGGUGAAAUGCGUAGAGAUCCGGAGGAACCCCAGAGGCGAAGGCGGCGCCCUGGCCCGUCACUGACGCUCAGACACGACAGCAUGGGGAGCGAACGGGAUUAGAAACCCCGGUAGUCCAUGCCGUAAACGAUGCCAACUAGGCGCUGGGGGACUCAACCCCCUCGGUGCCGUAGCCAACGCGCUAAGUUGGCCGCCUGGGGAGUACGACCGCAAGGUUAAA